GACGAACGCUGGCGGCGUGCCUAAUACAUGCAAGUAGAACGCACAGUUUAUACCGUAGCUUGCUACACCAUAGACUGUGAGUUGCGGACGGGUGAGUAACGCGUAGGUAACCUGCCUGGUAGCGGGGGAUAACUAUUGGAAACGAUAGCUAAUACCGCAUAAUAUUAAUUAUUGCAUGAUAAUUAAUUGAAAGGUGCAAUUGCACCACUACCAGAUGGACCUGCGUUGUAUUAGCUAGUAGGUGAGGUAACGGCUCACCUAGGCGACGAUACAUAGCCGACCUGAGAGGGUGAUCGGCCGCCCUGGGACUGAGACACGGCCCAGACUCCUACGGGAGGCAGCAGUAGGGAAUCUUCGGCAAUGGACGAAAGUCUGACCGAGCAACGCCGCGUGAGUGAAGAAGGUUUUCGGAUCGUAAAGCUCUGUUGUAAGAGAAGAACGGGUGUGAGAGUGGAAAGUUCACACUGUGACGGUAUCUUACCAGAAAGGGACGGCUAACUACGUG
rnacentral:rRNA from 1 species